rnacentral:rRNA from 1 species
UACGGAGGGUGCAAGCGUUAUCCGGAUUCACUGGGUUUAAAGGGUGCGUAGGAGGGCAGGUAAGUCAGUGGUGAAAUCUUCGAGCUUAACUCGGAAACUGACGUUGAUACUAUCUGUCUUGAAUACCGUGGAGAUGAGCGGAAUAUGUCAUGUAGCGGUGAAAUGCUUAGAUAUGACAUAGAACACCAAUUGCGAAGGCAGCUCGUUACACGAAUAUUGACUCUGAGGCACGAAAGCGUGGGGAUCAAACAGG